rnacentral:rRNA from 1 species
AUUUUAAUGAUCGAACAGAUCAAAAUUUUAAACUUUUGCAUUUAAAUUUUAUCUUAAUCCAACAUCGAGGUCGCAAACUUUUUUUUUUAUUUGAACUAAAAAAAAAUAUUACGCUGUUAUCCCUAAGGUAAUUUUUUCUUAUAAUCAUUAUUAAUGGAUCAUUUAAUCAUUUAUUUAUGUUUAAUUUUUAAAAAAAGUUAAUUUAAUUUUUCUAUCACCCCAAUAUAAUAAUUAAUUUUAUUUUAAUAAAAAUUUUUAUAUAAUUUUAAAAUAAAAAUAAAUAUAAAACUCUAUAGGGUCUUCUCGUCUUUUAAAAUUAAUUUAGCUUUUUAACUAAAAAAUAAACUUUUAAAAAUAAAUAAGAGACAGUUUAUAUUUCAUCAAAUCUUUCAUACAAGUUUUCAAUUAAAAAACUAUUGAUUAUGCUACCUUUGUACAGUCAUUAUACUGCAGCCCUUUAAUUAUUAUCA